UUAGAUAAGAAAAUUAUAUAUGGUUAUAAAAAUUUGAAUUAAGAAAUAUAAAAUUAAAUUAAAUAAAAAUAUAAAAAUAAUAAAUAAAAGUCAAUUUAUAAUAUUGCUUAAUAAAUAUAAACGCAAAAUCAAUAAAAAAAUACUUUUAAAUACAUAAUAUAACUAAAUAUGAAUUAGAGUAUCUAAAAAUUAAUGAUUUAUUUUUUAAAGAAAAUCAAGUGAAUUAAAAAAUUAAAAUAAAAGAUCUUGAUAUUAAUGUAUGUUAUAAAAUUUGAAAUGC
rnacentral:lncRNA from 1 species